rnacentral:lncRNA from 1 species
UUGUUCUAACUUUUCCCUCACUUUGUUUUGUUUAUCUUCAAAAGUCCUGUCCAGUAUCUCGGAGCAGCACUGCUUGGGAGGAAGGCAUUUGAGAUUGAUUGCCACACUUCAGACAACAUGUGUCAACAACAAGAAUCAAGAGUCUUCAGAUGACAGUACUGAAAGGACUGCUAAGAAUCAUCACACAGAGUGUGUCUCUAACAAACUAAAAAUAGG